GACGAACGCUGGCGGCGUGCCUAACACAUGCAAGUCGAGCGAAUGAAGUUCCUUCGGGAAUGGAUUUAGCGGCGGACGGGUGAGUAACACGUGGGCAACCUGCCUCAUAGAGGGGAAUAGCCUCCCGAAAGGGAGAUUAAUACCGCAGAAGAUUGUAGUACCGCAUGAUACAGCAAUUAAAGGAGCAAUCCGCUAUGAGAUGGGCCCGCGGCGCAUUAGCUAGUUGGUGAGGUAAUGGCUCACCAAGGCGACGAUGCGUAGCCGACCGGAGAGGGUGAUCGGCCACAUUGGGACUGAGACACGGCCCAGACUCCUACGGGAGGCAGCAGUGGGGAAUAUUGCACAAUGGGGGAAACCCUGAUGCAGCAACGCCGCGUGAGUGAUGACGGCCGUCGGGUUGUAAAGCUCUGUCUUCAGGGACGAUAAUGACGGUACCUGAGGAGGAAGCCACGGCUAACUACGUG
rnacentral:rRNA from 1 species